AACGGCCAUACCAUGCUGAAUAUACCGGUUUUCGUUAGUCACCGAAGUCAAGUAUCAUUGGGCGCGGUCAGUACCUGUGGGGCGGGUGACCACCGGGAACACCGCGUGC